rnacentral:rRNA from 1 species
AUUGAACGCUGGCGGCAGGCUUAACACAUGCAAGUCGAGCGAGCGGCGGACGGGUGAGUAAUGUAUGGGAAACUGCCUGAUGGAGGGGGAUAACUACUGGAAACGGUAGCUAAUACCGCAUAACAUCGGAUGUGACCAGAGGGGAUUAGAUAGUAGGUGGGGAAAAGGCGAACAUAGGCGACGGUCCCUAGCUGGUCUGAGAGGAUGACCAGCCACACGGGUACUGAGACACGGUCCAGACUCCUACGGGAGGCAGCAGUGGUGAAUAUGGCACAAGGGGCGCAAGCCUAAUGCAGCCAUGCCGCGUGUGUGAAGAAGGCCUUCGGGGUGUAAAGCACUUUCAGCGAGGAGGCGUUACUCACAGAAGAAGCACCGGCUAACUCCGUGCCAGCCGCCGCGGUAAUAC